rnacentral:rRNA from 1 species
AUUGAACGCUGGCGGCAUGCCUUACACAUGCAAGUCGAACGGCAGCGCGGACUUCGGUCUGGCGGCGAGUGGCGAACGGGUGAGUAAUACAUCGGAACGUACCCUGUUGUGGGGGAUAACCAGUCGAAAGAUUAGCUAAUACCGCAUACGACCUGGGGGUGAAAGCGGGGGACCGCAAGGCCUCACGCAGCAGGAGCGGCCGAUGUCUGAUUAGCUAGUUGGUGGGGUAAAGGCCCACCAAGGCGACGAUCAGUAGCUGGUCUGAGAGGACGAUCAGCCACACUGGGACUGAGACACGGCCCAGACUCCUACGGGAGGCAGCAGUGGGGAAUUUUUGGACAAUGGGGGCAACCCUGAUCCAGCAAUGCCG